UGAGGAAUAUUGGUCAAUGGGCGGAAGCCUGAACCAGCCAUCCCGCGUGGAGGAAGACGGCCCUAUGGGUUGUAAACUUCUUUUCAAGGGGAAGAAAGUUCGCGACGUGUCGCGAUUUGCCGGUACCUUUGGAAUAAGCAUCGGCUAACUCCGUGCCAGCAGCCGCGGUAAUACGGAGGAUGCGAGCGUUAUCCGGAUUUAUUGGGUUUAAAGGGUGCGUAGGCCGAUCGAUAAGUCAGCGGUGAAAUACCAUGGCCCAACCAUGGAACUGCCGUUGAUACUGUCGGUCUUGAAUAUGGUCAAGGUAGGCGGAAUGUGUAAUGUAGCGGUGAAAUGCUUAGAUAUUACACAGAACACCGAUAGCGAAGGCAGCUUGCUGGGCCGUUACUGACGCUGAUGCACGAAAGCGUGGGGAUCGAACA
rnacentral:rRNA from 1 species